rnacentral:rRNA from 1 species
GACGUAGGGGGCCAGCGUUGUUCGGAAUUACUGGGGGUAAAGGGUUCGUAGGCGGUGUGGCAAGUCGGGAGUGAAAUCUCUGGGCUCAACCCAGAGUCUGCUUCCGAAACUGCUGUGCUUGAGUGUGGGAGAGGCGCGUGGAAUUGCAGGUGUAGCGGUGAAAUGCGUAGAUAUCCGGAGGAACACCGAUGGCGAAGGCAACCGCCUGGGCCUGUACUGACGCUGAGACACGAAAGCGUGGGGAGCAAACAGG